CUGUUAAAUACCCGAUUCUGUUCCUGAAGCAGGUUUCAUAAUUCACUAAGUGAUUUUGGCUAUGACUUUAAGUCAAGGCAAAGUUCAAGUCAAGAAAAGUUUUUAUGUUAAUGCUUCAACUAUUCAGAAUAAAAAGCUGUUUCUUGUAGGUGUAGCUUCUCCCACAGACCCUUACCAUGUUCAAAUUUGAAAGAAUACAAACAAUAUCAGCUCAUUAUAUAACACUAAAUUAAAUCUACAAUACUGAUCGGUUACUGCGGCAGCUUAAUCAAAAUAUGAAUGCACUGACUGAACAAGUCGCAUGUUGAGUAAAAAUAAAAAUUUCAUAAGAGAAAUAAAGUACUUAUUUUUACCUGAAAAUCAAAUAUUACAUUUUAUUAGAAAUCACUAAUGGAAUAUAUUUUCAGUGAGAACCAAAUAUUUUCAAACAGCCUGUUUCACUUUGAAUAUAUGCAUUUAAUGUAUCAAUAUUACAUUAGCUGCAGGUCUGUAGCUCCCAGCUGAAAAAAUUUGAAUGACGACCUGGAAGCUACAGUACCUCCCAUAUUAAAACAAAAAAAAAUCUUCAAUUUAUGACGCACAAAAAUUUGUGCUAGUUUUGGAUUGAUUAACAUGAACAAACUCAAAACCAAUUUUGUAAUACAAUCCAUUUUAUUUGCAAACAUUUCAUCAUUUCAAACCCAAAGUUUGGAAUUUAUUGUUAAGACAAAUAUAUAUUCAUUUAUAAAUAAUACAUGUUGUAUAUCUGGAAUCUUCAAUCUGCUUACUUCAAGUAGGAAAAAAUCAUAGAAUUAAUUAUAGAAUGUUAUAAUAUUUAACUGUCCAUCAUACUGAUUAACGUUCUGAAAUAUUUUUAUCAGGUUCAUUUCUCAUAAUCACUGAAACUCGUCUGUCUCUCUCAAUUUUCUGUCCAUUAAACACAGACUCGUUCUCACCAAGUACAGCAUGCUUAUAAAGAUACCUUGAAUUAUCUCUGGAAAGAAAAAUUGAAAAUGCAAUUCAAUAUCUUCAAUGAAAGACCAUGUUCUGAAUUUAGACUUCUUGAAUAUUGGUUGAAAGACAAAGAUUUUAGUGAAUGACUGAAUGUGUUUUGUUUCCAAAAUGUUUGUGAUUUAAACAAAAAAUUAAUGUAUGUACCUCAUAAUAUACAAUGAUCUUCU
rnacentral:misc_RNA from 1 species